rnacentral:rRNA from 1 species
GAUGAACGCUAGCUACAGGCUUAACACAUGCAAGUCGCGGGGCAGCAUGGGGGUUGCUUGCAACCCCUGAUGGCGACCGGCGCACGGGUGAGUAACGCGUAUCCAACCUGCCCUUCACCACGGGAUAAACCGGCGAAAGUCGGACUAAUACCGUAUGUUGUCCAUUGACGGCUUCCGAGUUGGACGAACGGUUUGGCGGUGUAAGGAUGGGGAUGCGUCCGAUUAGCUUGGAGGCGGGGUAACGGCCUACCGUGGCGACGAUCGGUAUGGGUUCGGAGAGGAAGGUCCCCCACACCGGAACUGAGACACGGUCCAGACUCCUACGGGAGGCAGCAGUGAGGAAUAUUGGGCAAUGGGCGUAAGCCUGAACCAGCCAAGUAGCGUGCAGGAUGACGGCCCUAUGGGUUGUAAACUGCUUUUAUGCGGGGAUAAAGUGGCCAACGUGUGGGCUUUUGCAGGUACCGAAUGAAUAAGGACCGGCUAAUUCCGUG